AGUUGCAUACUUUGGAUGGCACAUCCAUAGUGAGACUCAUGAUCUUUGUGAAGAGACAACAUGCCCUGUGUCUGAUGGCGAGUUCGUAGUGUCACACUCACAAGUUUUACCUGGAUAUACUCCUCCAGUAAGUCACAUCUUUUUUCAACGUGCAAAAUGUUCACAUAUGAAAAUGUUGUGUGGAUAGAAAAUUGUCGACAUGUUAAGCUUAGAACCAAUUGCUAGAAUCACAACCUCAUUUGAAAAUGUUAUCGAGUCUAUGUGGUAUAUAUAUGAUAAUACAAAAUCCCACAUUGACUUGAAGUCAAGGGGGCUAGAGUCUUGUAAGGCCAAGCACAACCCUUCACCCUUGAGGGAUAUUUUCAAGGACAAAACUGUGAGGCCUAAGGACCAAGGCAAGCAAUACACUGAGGUGUGGAUAACUCAUUUUGAUUUUGAUUUGAUUCAUCAUCAUUUGGCACUACAAGGAGGGCACAACCCUCUGCAUCUCCACCAAACUGAAUCUCUAAAUGGGCUAAGGCUCAUCUCUCCAUUGAAUUGGAUCUCCAAAUGGUCUAAGGCCCAUUUCUCCAAAGCCUCCUUGACUAGCGGGGGACAUCUAAUAUAUAAUGAUACAAAAUCCCACAUUGAUUAAGAGCCAAGAGGGCUAGAGCCUUAUAAGGCCAAGCACACCCAUUCCCCCUUGAGGGCCCUUUUCAAGGACAAAAUCGUGAGGCCAAGAGACGAAGCAGACAAUGCCUUGAGGUAUGGAUCGACCCAACUCGAUUUGGAUUGAUUCAUCAUUACUCUGCAACUUAGGAUUUGUUUCUGUGGAAAAGAAUUUGUAUGUGGAUAUAUAUAUAUAUAUUUUUUAGAUAUGAAUUACUUUAUGCUAUUUGAGUGUAACACUGAAAAUCUAAGUGAAAAUUAUUAUCUGGCAUUUUAAGUAGAUUGGAGAUGAAAUUAUUUUCGUUCUAUAAAAAAAAUGUGAAUUCUUUGAGAUUAUUAGUUGAAUAGGAGAGAAUUACACCAUUGAGGGUUUAAUUAUGGUGGCAACUGGCUGUGGUCAUGCAUUAGUUUGCCAUUUAACUAAUAAAACUGUUUCCAUUGAUCAAUGUGCCUAUGCAUGACAAAUACUGGAAAAUGAAGGCAAAUAUUCUCCAUAAAAUAAAUGUAGUAGUAGUUGCUUAAAUUGUUACCUUGGAAUGAAUACCCUUUGUUAAAUUACUUUUGAACUAUGAAUCAUGGUUGAUGCUCUUAGUUAAUCUGUCGCCCUCCUGAUGAGUUGUGCUACUUGAGAUUGCUGGUUUGAUCCACAUUCACAUGGAUACACACAAUGUAUGGUGUGAUACACACAUGCAUAUAUUAUAUGCACAUAACUCACUGGCUGGUGUAUAAAAAUACAACAUGAUGUGCAAUUGUUCAGCUGUUAUCCAGUGCUCAAGGAUUUUAGGCUCGGUAUAGUUUAAUGUUGUCUUCCUGUCAAAAUAUAGGUUAUUGUGAUGUAAACUGCUCUGGAGGCUCUAAUAUUUGAGCCUUUGUCAGCUGUUUGAAUUUGCUUGGAACUUUGGCCAAAUAGUUCACAAGGCCAGGAGAGAGGCAUGUUUUAUUAAGGGUGAAAACCAAGAGGCUGGAGAAUGGAUUCCUCAAGAUUGGUGUGUUAGCUUUAAAUGUAAUAUAUCCCUUGACAAAAAAUUCUUUCCAUCCUUUCUCUCUUUCUUUUCCUGACCAAAACAAUGGCCUCUUUUGGCUUAAGAUGCAUAGAGCUCACCAUUACUUUCGAAAGUCAAAUGGCUGGUAGAAGAUACAUCUUUGUUCAUCAGUACAAGACUCAAUCAAUCAUGGACUAGCUACUUCACUUCAUAUUCUUUGUGAGUCUUGUAUUUGAUCCUUUAUAUGAAAGCACUAAACGAUAGGUAUUUUUGCAAAUUUCAUAUCUUGCCUGCAAUCAUAGAUGAAUAGAUGUUUCAGCUGUGCUUAUCCUUCUUCGAGAAGCACGGCUGCCCUCCUAGUUUCUCAUAUCAACAGAAAUCGGACUCCUAAUUUAGUUUUAUUGAUGGAUUGAUCCUCCUGCUAAACCUGCUUUUCCUCUUAUAAUUCCUAUACCCUGAACUUCCUUAUAUUUUCUCCCUCUAAUAAAUUGAACACUAACAACAGAGAAAGGCCUAGGACAGAAUACUAUAAAUCUUGCUUUGUUAUUCUAUAUUCUCUGGUCCAUCUUUAGUUUACUACAUAAAUAAGUUAUUGACUAUUGGUCUUCAAAUAGUUGUGGGUUCCAAAGUUUACUUGUACAACUCCUUAGCAGAUAUAUUCAAUAUUGUGUUUACCUGUAGACUUUUCAAUUGACCUUAGUUUGUCAGCAAUAUGUGCUAUAUUUGGAUAUACAGGUUAUGAGUUUUAAAAUGUUUGAUGCAAUAUAGUUGUGUUUGUCAUCAAAGAAAAGGAAUGAAUUUACUUUUAUCUACCUUGAUUCAUGUCACUAAUCAUUAUUGGUUUCUGCAGGGUUCAUACUCUCUUAAGAUGAAGAUGUAUGAUGGUAAAAACCAUGAAUUAACUUGCAUUGGAUUUGACUUCAGUAUUGGGUUUGCAUCAUCCGUUGCAGAUAGUUAAGCACCUGAAGAUUUGCUGAGUCUAUUAUCACCAUAGAAAUAGCAUGUACGAAGAAAUCUCUAUAUCUUGUACCUUGCUGCUACUUUACCUUUAUUGCUACAGUGUGUUGUGUAAUAUGUGAAUCGUAAGCUUUCAUGAGAUUAGGACUAAUGCAGUGGUUACUUUUAUUGAGGAUCUACUGUAAAUGUCCAUUCUUUCGCCCCUUAACAUAUGGUAUGAUUGCAUGAUAAUGGCCGUCUAUAUGUCAAUUUGAAAGUAUCCUCCUGCAUUAAGGUAGGUGGGAGAGUAAAAGCGUACAGUAGUUAGCAGUGAUCCUUGAAUGAUCAAAUGUCUGGUGUGGAUAUCUGUUUGCCUAUUGGAGUAGGAUCAUAAAUCAGAUGUGAGAACGCGAGGGAGCAUUGAUCCCUGUACUCGCUUGAAAGACUGUCACCCUAUUAUAUUGGAUUGUGCUGUGUGCUUUGAUACGGAUUUGCAUAAGGG
rnacentral:misc_RNA from 1 species